rnacentral:tRNA from 1 species
GGGGCCGUAACUCAGUGGUAGAGUGCCUCGUUUGCAUCACCAUGGAAUUUGAUAUUCAUGUGAAAAAGCUUCGAUGAAGCCCAGGGUUCGAUCCCCUGCCGCUCCA